CUUCAGCUCCCCAACAGGACUGAACAAAGGACAUCUCUCUGCUGCUCGCAAACACUCCCGCGCACUUCCAAAUGCUGGUCCCUCCCCAUCAGAUAUGCUCCAAGUCUAGACAACGUACCGGCGGACGGAGCAAGAAAAUGAGGAGGACCGGUUAGUGGCUCCUGGCUGACUGAGUCGGAUCCGACACCAUUAGUCCGACUCGCCGGCUCAUGUGCACAACUGGCUUCUUAAAGAAGUUUAGGCCUGAGUAGCCUCGCAGACGCUGCGUUCCAGCCCCUCUGUUUUACAUCUGAGCCUGAUGAAUCCCUCACGUCUCCGGUAGGCCUGUCAUACCGCCAAUCACUGCAAGGACCCAUCACCACGGCAACAACGGGGGUGUCGUGGACACAUUCUGUUUUAUCGAUAGCAAUCACAAAACUAAUUUCUGUCGUCCUAGUCGUGCUGUCACACACGUGUAGGAUGCUGAGAGCAUCGAUCAUCGCCCUCGUAUCUCCUCUGAAGAAACAACACAAGCGAUCCACUCAGCUGGCAAAGAGAUGGAGACAAAGUGUCAGGACAGCGCUGAAGUACAUCAGAGAUGAUAUUAAAUUCAGGCCUUAAUGCCGAACAUCCCAAAAAAUAAAGCUUCAUCAACUCCAGCAAAUCAAAUCCAAUGACAAAUGACUAACAAACGGUAGCGGAUGAAGUAUUCAUCCUUUAUUUAACCUAUUUUAGAAACCAACUUCUCUGCUGGAAGGACGUUUGUCAUUAUCAUUUUAAAGAGAAAGCCUAGGAAAUAUGAAGUUGGCACAUGGAAUAUGAAAUAUGUGAGCAAUUACCAGGAAACAAGGGGGUAAAAAAGUUGCCACUUUGUUUCAUUAUAAGAAUUGUUGCACAGACCAAUUUAGGAGCUUGAGCCACACUGGAGCAGAUUUCUUUGCGAUUGGCCUCAGCUGCUCCGAUGUUGAUGUCUCAUUUUAAUAAGCUUUAUGAAACUGCAACGCAAAAAUGUUGUAGC
ensembl:lncRNA